GAUGAACGCUGGCGGCGUGCUUAACACAUGCAAGUCGAACGAGAAGUGAAGACGGAAACCUUCGGGCGGAAGGCUUUAUUUCGAGUGGCGGACGGGUGAGUAACGCGUGGGUAACCUGCCUCAUACAGGGGGAUAACAGUUGGAAACGACUGUUAAUACCGCAUAAGACCACAGCACCGCAUGGUGCGGGGGUAAAAACUCCGGUGGUAUGAGAUGGACCCGCGUUCGAUUAGCCAGUUGGCGGGGUAACGGCCCACCACAGCGACGAUCGAUAGCCGAUCUGAGAGGAUGACCGGCCACAUUGGGACUGAGACACGGCCCAAACUCCUACGGGAGGCAGCAGUGGGGAAUAUUGCACAAUGGGGGAAACCCUGAUGCAGCGACGCCGCGUGAGUGAAGAAGUAUUUCGGUAUGUAAAGCUCUAUCAGCAGGGAAGAAAAUGACGGUACCUGAGUAAGAAGCCCCGGCUAACUACGUG
rnacentral:rRNA from 1 species